rnacentral:rRNA from 1 species
GAUGAACGCUAGCGAUAGGCCUAACACAUGCAAGUCGAGGGGCAUCACAUGAAGUAGCAAUACGGAUGGUGGCGACCGGCGCACGGGUGAGUAACACGUAUGCAACCUGCCUUCAACAAGGGGAUAACCCGUUGAAAGACGGACUAAUACCCUAUAACACAGGGGUCCCGCAUGGGAAUAUUUGUUAAAGGACAACCGGUUGAAGAUGGGCAUGCGUUCCAUUAGCUAGUUGGCGGGGUAACGGCCCACCAAGGCAACGAUGGAUAGGGGAACUGAGAGGUUUAUCCCCCACACUGGUACUGAGACACGGACCAGACUCCUACGGGAGGCAGCAGUGAGGAAUAUUGGUCAAUGGACGCAAGUCUGAACCAGCCACGUCGCGUGAAGGAAGACGGCCCUACGGGUUGUAAACUUCUUUUAUACGGGAAUAAAGUGCCCCACGCGUGGGCCGAUGCCGGUACCCCGGGAAUAAGGAUCGGCUAACUCCGUG